GCGGUCGUGGCGAAAUUGGUAGACGCACUACCUUGAGGUGGUAGCGAGUAAAAUCAUGGGAGUUCAAGUCUCCCCGACCGCACCA
rnacentral:tRNA from 1 species